rnacentral:lncRNA from 1 species
UUUUGGCAAGCUGGGCAGUUUGGUAGAGAUCACCAAGAGAUUGCUUUUCUUAAUCAGAACUUUGAAAAUGAUUUAUGAAGAAGAAUCCUUAUACAUCCAUUGAAAUUAUGACCCUAAAUCUUCCAUUUGAAGCACAAAAGUUUAGCCUUAAAUCACUUAUCACGUCUAAGCCUAGAGGAAAUAACAGAUGCUUUGGGGAUUCCUACUUGUGGGUCUGGGGAGGGAUCAGAGGGUGGAGUGUACGGAACCGUUAUCCCUACCUUGUGGAGGUGGAGAGGUUGUUUACGAAACACCCUCAUCUCAAGUGCAUCAAAUAAAAAAAGUUCUAUAUAUAGUAGUAAAAAGAAUCACCUUAAUAACAAGACUUUUGAAAUUAAUUCUUCAAAAAGAAUCCUUCAACUUCCAGUCUCCUGUUUGAAGUACAAAAGUUUAGCCCUAAUCGCCCAUCACAUCUAAGCUUCUAGGAAAUGAAGGAUGCUUUGGGCAGAAAAGAUUGUAUUGGGUGAUCAAUUUGUAAAAUGAAAACAGGUUGGAUUUUAAGAGUGGGAUUUAAUUUAAUCCUAUAUUGAAAAUGUGGCUAGCUUAGAAUGAUACAUGACUAUUUUAAAGACCCAAAUUUGACCCAGGCUGGUCUGUUAGUUUCGAGGCUAUGUUUGAGUCUAAAAGAAAACGUUAAGGGUAUUUUUAGACCAAAAGGUUAACAAAAGUUAUUUGUUAGCCAUUUUCAAUACUAGGGGUGUUUUUUUCCCCUUUUAAGUUUUGUUAAGACCCAAGUCCAUAAGUUUCAGAGGUAUGUUUGAGCCUCCUAAAAAAAGGUUAUCGGUACUUUUAGACCUAAAGGUUAAUGGAGGGUAUUUGUGAACCAUUUCAAUAGGUUACAGGUAUUUUUGGCCUUUUUGCGAACUUGAAAAGGUGACUGAUGCUGUCUUUCCUUUGGAAUGGUUCAUCUUGACGAAUUCCCACAUGUCGCUUGUACUGUGUUCUGGAUGUUUUUCUUCGUUUAGCUUAGACGCUGCUUUAUGCCCCUUAGCUUUCUUCAUUCAGUUCCUUAAUCUACUAAACUUGGUUGUUCAGAUGGUUGUCUGGCAGUGACUUGAAAACAAUUGCCCUUUUUGGCUGCCCUUCUAUUGCAAAGCAGAAUGUUUUAUCUGCUAAGAGGUUGCGUAAAUAUUUCAGAAUUCAAGAAGAUAAUGUGAGUCACUUUUGCUCUUAAGAAACUUCAUCACUUCCUUUCACUGCUCCUAAGAUCAAAUAAGAUUACGUAAAAUUUUCUUUGGGACAUUCUCAAAUUUUCUUCCACCUUCCUUCUAUAUACCCCUUAUGAUCUAAAAUGUUACGUGCCUUUACUUCAGGUGUGCAGCAAAUGUGCCUUAAAAGCAUCAUGCAAGUUUGUGAAUCAGAAUGUCAGGAAAGGCGACAGGACAAAUUUACACUUGGCUGCUGUAUUGAGGGUCAUUAUUCUGUAUGCGCUGGAAUCAGUUCCUCCUCAGCUAGUAAUACCAGAUGAAAUAAAGGCUUCUGUCCGUCGGUUGCUGAUGGACAUUUUGAGACUUAGUCAAACUGUGUCUUAAUGCUUCUUCAGAAUCCGACAAGUUGAUCAGCAUACAGUGGCAAGGAUUGGAAUGAACCAAAGGUGAAGGACUGUCCAAAUAGAGGGAUCAACUUAUCCAGGUGAGGCAUUGGUGAAAAGUGUCCUAAAGUAACAUGACAAAGCCUGUCAAUUUACUUGAUAUUACACUGCUUACACAACUACUAAGACAGAUAGAUACUCCUCGAGAAUUGCUAGUGGCGCGUUGACAGACUGCAGCCACUGGUGUGUAGCUGGUGUACCAGAUGUUUGGAAUGAAUUAUUGUACACAAUCUUGCUCCAGAAAUAAUUUCUGAAGCUAAUGUAUUGAAUCUUGAAUCUCAAUUUUCAUGUAUAAAAUGAAAGCUGAUGGCUAGGUGGCUCUUAUCUUGCUGCUGUUGUUGUUUUGUUUCUUCUGUUCUUGAGCCGAGGGUUUAUCAAAAGAGCCGAGGGUAAGGUCUGCCUACAGUCUACUCUCUCCAAACUCGCAC